UACGGAGGGUGCAAGCGUUAUCCGGAUUCACUGGGUUUAAAGGGUGCGUAGGUGGGUCUGUAAGUCAGUGGUGAAAUCUCCAAGCUUAACUUGGAAACUGCCGUUGAUACUAUAGAUCUUGAAUGCUGUGGAGGUGAGCGGAAUAUGUCAUGUAGCGGUGAAAUGCUUAGAUAUGACAUAGAACACCAAUUGCGAAGGCAGCUCACUACCCAGAUAUUGACACUGAGGCACGAAAGCGUGGGGAGCAAACAGG
rnacentral:rRNA from 1 species